AUUGAACGCUGGCGGCAGGCCUAACACAUGCAAGUCGAGCGAGCGGCGGACGGGAGAGUAAUGUAUGGGGACUGCCCGAUAGAGGGGGAUAACUACUGGAAACGGUGGCUAAUACCGCAUACUAUCGGAUAACCCAUAUGGGAUUAGCUAGUAGGUGAGGUAACGGCUCACCUAGGCGACGAUCCCUAGCUGGUCUGAGAGGAUGAUCAGCCAAACUGGAACUGAGACACGGCCCCGACUCCUACGGAGGCAGCAGUGGGGAAUAUUGCACAAUGGGCGCAAGCCUGAUGCAGCCAUGCCGCGUGUAUGAAGAAGGCCUUCGGGUUGUAAAGUACUUUCAGUCGGGAGGCGUUGCCGACAAAAGAAGGACUGGCUAACUCCGGGCCAGCAGCCGCGGUAAUUC
rnacentral:rRNA from 1 species